rnacentral:rRNA from 1 species
UCGCGAAAACUUCACAAUGGGGGCAACCCCGAUGAGGGAAUUCCUAGUGCUAGCACAUUUGUGUUAGCUUUUCUUUAGCUUAGAAAACUAGAGGAAUAAGGGCUGGGUAAGACGGGUGCCAGCCGCCGCGGUAAUACCUGCAGCCCAAGUGGUGGUCGAUUUUAUUGAGUCUAAAACGUUCGUAGCCGGUUCGGUAAAUCUUUGGGUAAAUCGGGGGGCUUAACCUUCCGACUUCCGAGGAGACUGCCGAACUUGGGACCGGGAGAGGCUAGAGGUACUUCUGGGGUAGGGGUAAAAUCCUGUAAUCCUAGAAGGACCACCGGUAGCGAAGGCGUCUAGCUAGAACGGAUCCGACGGUGAGGGACGAAGCCCUGGGUCGCAAACGGGAUUAGAUACCCCGGUGGUCCAGGGUGUAAACGCUGCAGACUUGGUGUUGGAGGCCCUUUGGGGGCAUUCAGUGCCGGAGAGAAGUUGUUAAGUCUGCUACUUGGGGAGUACGUCCGCAAGGAUGAAACUUAAAGGAAUUGGCGGGGGAGCACCGCAACGGGAGGAGCGUGCGGUUUAAUUGGAUUCAACACCGUAAAACUCACCAGGGAAGACUGUUACAUGAAGGCCGGGCUAAAGACUCUGCCAGAUUUUCA